UUUCCAGUAGCGGCUGUCGAGCUGGCAGGCCCCCUCGGGGUGCGCGCUGCUCGCCAUCUCGAUCCUGAAAACGACAUUUCGCUUGAAACCUCACCAGAAGCGACAGGGAGCAAGCAGAAGCACACAAAGACUACCUGAUGCGGAUCCUGGGCUGUCUGAUCCUGGAAGAGAGGAAGGUGACAAUCACACAAGCAGCAGUGAGGGCCAUAUACUGGCUGAGGCCUGUGUGGAAGCAGAAGGUGAGCGGGAGGCAGGAUCUCAUCCCCUUCCUGUGCUGGAAGCCCCCUGCCGCUGUCUCCACAUCUAGCAGAACCUCUGAGCGAUAGUGGUUGGACAGCGACAUGCUCCCCAUCAGCCUGACAGGACACACACACACACACACACACACACACACACACACAUAAAUAUUAGUGAUUGAACAAUGUUUUUUUAGGGCCGAUCCCAAUAAUUAGUAGUCAAGGAAGCAGAUAACCGAUAAUUGGAGCAGAUAUUAGUCUUGCCUAAAAAGAAAAAUAUUGACGUCAAAAUUUGAAUAAUAAAAACUCCAACACUUGACUUCAUUCAAAUGCCUUUAAUCACCUUUAUUAAUCAGCUUUUCAGAUUUGCAACAUGUUAGUCUUUUUAUCUUAGAAAAUAAUGCAUCUUUGCUUUAAAAUUCUAACCAAAAAAUGCAGGGAGCUCCCAGGCUCAACAUCAUGUCAUACAAAGUCAAAUUAAUAAAAAAAUAGCUCCUUAAAGUUUUCUAUAGUAAAUAAACAUAGAUCAUUUUACCCUUGAGAUUGUGUGAGUCCCAGGAUGCACAUGUCUGGAAACAAUGAGUCCCUGCAAGUAAUCAUCGCAGAAUACAAAUACAGUAACCCUUCGCUAUAUCACGGUUCGUGCUACGCAGUCCCGCUAUAGUGCAGAUUUUUACUACAGUUGCGUUUACAAUUGCUCUCUCUCUCUCCCAAUAUAUUAUGCGGUUCGUCCUGCAAGCAAAUUUUUUGGACGAUAUAUUUUCCUAAAAACUAUCAUGAUAAACGAUACUAUUAUUUUUUUAUGCCACUGAUAUAAUAUUAUAGCAUAUUAUCAGUCAUCUACAUCCUUUUAAAGAACAAUAAACUUUUAAUUCUAAAGAAUAUUGAACAUUGACAUUGUAAUUUAGAACAGUAAAUAUUUUAUAUAAUAAUUCUAAAUAAAACAGACCCAGGCUCUGUUAAAAGAAAUUGCAAAUAAAUAAAAUUUCACACAGCGGUAUAGUCAUUAACUGACUAAAGAGGCUCAAAAAAAUGUCUUAAAGCCUGCCAAAUUUGAAUGAAUUAAAAAAUAAUUUUAAAAAAACAAGGUGUUCUCAAAUGAUUUGGGCUUUAUCACUGUUUUUAAAUCAGAUACAUUUUAAUAUCACUAUAUUUUUAAAAUUAUUUUUAUUUAUUGUAUGAAUGUUGUCAUACUGUGUAAUUUCUGCCGCCUGUAUAUUUUCUGCUGCCUCUUGGCUUUUUCAAAAGAGAUUUUAUAGCUCAGCUUUUGCCUAGUUAAAUAACUGAUUAACAAAAUGUAAAAAAGGCCCAUCCCUGCUGGACUGUGAGACCGUCACCUGUCAAUCAAAUGACGCUUAAAAUGAGUUCGCUGAAGUCAACUACUGCCUGAAUAUUGAUAACGUUUACCGCUGUGGUUAUGGUAAAUAAACAGUUAACUUGUUCAUAUGUGUGUGAGUGUGUGCGUGUGUUAUGCGGGGAACAUAGACACGCAACUCAGAGCACUUACAUUUUAAACAAUGUUGCCCCAGUCGAGUGAGCUGUUUACCUCCUUAGCUUGCUAGCUCGUUAGCUCGCAGGCUUGUGAACGUAAUAAAUAGUUAACUCUCCCUAAAGUUUCCCAGUUGUGUGCAUCUAUGGAGCAAACGCCGUUCUGCCAGCGGCUUGCUGCGUCGGGAGCGGCGCAGCGGGUGUCACCACAAAAAUCAAAAUGUAUCGAGUCCAGAAAAAAACUGCUGUGUAUUGUAUUUCAUUGAACGAGAAUCCUGCCCUACUCUACCUCUGAUUGGCUAGCACCAAGACAGGACUCAUACUUUUACUGUAUUCCUCCUUUGAUUCGCUGUGUGUGGAAGCUCUUCACCAACACACAAACAUAUCUCUACACGAACAACUGCACCUCAACGC